rnacentral:misc_RNA from 1 species
GGGAGAGUUCAGACGUCGGACGGCCGCUGGACGGGUCAGACGUCGGCUGUCGGACGGUUCACGGUCCGCUGUGGUACUGCUCGGACGUCGGUCCGCGUCAUGGCGCUGCUGUUGGUCCUGCUGGUGACGACGGUGGCCGGCCAGGAUCCGGCGCCAGCUCCACAGCCACCCGUGCUGGCACCCGUCGGAGUCAACCUGCCUCAAUACCCCUCCUACAUCGGCGUGGCCGCCGAGAUCAGACGAGCCCUGUACGGCCAGCCGCCCAGUCUGGAGCAGCUCAACAUUCAGCCCCACAACGACUCGACCAUCAGCGUGCGCGGCGAGACCUACGAGCUGGACGAUACGGACAGCGUCACAGUGGACGGCCAGCGACUUCAGGUGCUCGGGGACGCGGUCUCGGUGAACGGCAUGCUGCACUACCCGGCGCCGCCCCCGCCACCGCCGCGCCGCAAACCCGACUGGGAGCCGCUGCCGCCGUACUCUGGCGAGGGCGUGCACUCGGUCGAGCUGGGCGCCAUGCUCGCCGUGGCCGUGCCGGCUGCCGCCAGUCAGUACACGGGUGGGGGUGACAGUCCGCGGGCACCUCUGCACUGCCACACCGCGCCACCUCGCGGGACUCUGCUCUCUGAAUAAUAGUUAGUUACCUGAACUCCAGACGGGUGACAUCAGCAGCACUCACAGCACUGGUAUGUGUGCAAGGAAUCCUACACGUCACCAACCCAGGCUGAGUGGAACUGGCCACGGCCACAGCAUGUCUAUCUCAGCUGCUCACUGCUCGUUUGCUCAGAGCAGCCACUCCACACAGCACUGCCAGCACUGCGAUCAAUAGCCAUGCUGGGGCUGCUGCUGUGCUGUCUGGCCUGCACCCACCGCAGCUGCUGGUGCUGCGGCCUCUGUGACGGCAGGAUCAGCGCCGCGGAGCUCAGGCGGA